rnacentral:lncRNA from 10 species
UUGAAUUGUCUUUGAAGUGAGAAGUUAUUGUAUAGGCCAAAAAGCCUGGAAAUAAAGCUGCAAGGAACACAUUUGAAGUAGUAAAGAAAAUAGUCAUCAUUGUCUCUCUAGCAGUCUGACACCUUCAAUAAGAGACAGUCACAUCUAUUCUUUCUGAAGACAACUACCUGGAGGAUUCAUCUACGUGACAAGAACCUUGGCUUCCACAACAACCCCCUUACCUUAUCUCAAGCUGAUUUCAACUCUUCAGGCAGAGCUUAACCCUUUCAACCAAUUGCCAAUCAGGAAAUCUUUGAAUCCACCCAUGACUUGUAAGUUCCCCCACUUGCAGUUGCCCAACCUUUCUGCACUGAACCAAUGCAUAUCUCACAUAUUGAUAUGUCUUAUGUCUCCCUAAAACACAUAAAACCAAGCUGUAACCCAACUACCUUGGGCAUGUGUGCUCAAGGCUGUGGUCAUGGAUCAUGAUCCUUAAUCUUUGCAAAAUAAACUUUUAAAUUCAUUGAGA